CUAAGUGUGAGCUCAGAGUCAGGCUGUCCUGGUACCAGGAGGUGACAGUGAGCAAUGCAAUUGUCAAGGCUACAGGGAGAACACCCAGCCCUCUGUGUAGCCAUUUUAGUUGGGAAGAGGCUGAAGCUUGUUAGAGGGGAAUCAGUUCUACCUGGAAGGGCAAGAGUAAGAGGGGUGUGUGCCAGGCUCAGUUCCUCACCUGUGCAGCAUGAUGGAGGAGCAGGCUGUGAGAUUGAGGCUGGUGGUGUUCACCUCUUUGCAGGACUCAUGCAGUGUGAACCCAAAGCAGAUGAGGCAGGAGCAGAUGGUCAGGCUGAAUUUCAGCAGGAAGCAGAACAGGAAGUAGUGCUGAGUCUGUGAAUAAGGGAGAGGAAGGAGGAUGACAUGGGCAUGUCACUGGCACAACCUCCUCUCCAUGAACCAUCAGAGAAUCAGUGGCUGCAAAAGACAAGCUGUAGUUCAGAUGAGAUGCUGCACUGUGGAUCUGCCCUGUGGGUAUGCUGGCACUAAGGAAUUCCCUUCCUGGCUCAUGCCACGGAUCAAUUUACCAAGCGAGCUGGAAAGGCACAGGGCCUCAGUUAUGCAUCAACAUUGGGACAAAACAGAACAGAAAAAUGUGUGAACAACUAAAAUCUGAUGGGCCACCUACCUUCUUGGGAAUGGAAGUCAAGUUUUUUCCUGUUGCCAUGGUCAUGAUGGAGCUGUGGGGAGGCUUGCCCAGGAGCGAGAUACUGGAGAAAGAGCAGAAGGAGAGAUAUUCCUGUGAGCCUCUUCUGAAGAAAGUACAAGCAGCAGUGAUGAGCCUACAGGGAUCAAAGUCAGCCUACACUGGAAAGUGCAUUCAUUUUUAGGCCAGACAUAGAACUGAAGGGCGGUACAAGGCCAAAUAGUUCUCCUGCUUGAAGAGAUCUUUAGCACCUGGUGUGAAACCUGAAACAUGAACACAGGAAGGAGAAAAAUUAGGCUCAAACCAAAGCAAAAGAAA